CAACACAGUGGACUAUGAUAGGUCCAAUGCACAUGGCUUACUGACCUGUGCUAGCCUAAGCAAAUCCAGUACUGUCGCCGGGUGUCGAAGAACUGGGGGUCAGCCUCCUAGCCUAGGCCGCUCCUAUUUUCAUGAACUACAAUCUAUGCACAGUUGAGUCACCGUGUAUACAUUGGUAUGCUGCGCUGGGUGAAAUCCUAGCCUGUUCCUUCUUCUGCACUCCGUUCUUCGCCACACGACAGUACUAAAUUCUCCAUGAACGGCCAUUUUCCAUCCGGCGGUGAAGAGCAUCAUAUUGCCCAGCCCUGGUGUUCACACUUCAUGGACAUGCAGAGCUCCCGCGGUCAUGAGUGAAGAGAGCUAGUUAAUAUUUCAGAACAGGUGGCUCAGAAGCAACUACAGUGUAGUCUAUUCCUGUGCCCUGUCAGGUAGCGCUGGAGAAGCUGCUUCCGAUUGGCCUUCUUGCAGCGCUUCCUGCUUGGCUGAGGGACGGUGAUUUUCGACGAGCCGGACCCUGUUUCAUGAUUUGUCUGAUUAACGGCUACUUCUGUGUCUUCUU